UACGUAGGGUGCGAGCGUUAAUCGGAAUUACUGGGCGUAAAGCGUGCGCAGGCGGUUCGUUGUGUCGGCGGUGAAAGCCCCGGGCUCAACCUGGGAAUGGCCGGUGAAACUGGCGAACUGGAGUGUGGCAGAGGGGGGUGGAAUUCCGCGUGUAGCAGUGAAAUGCGUAGAGAUGCGGAGGAACACCGAUGGCGAAGGCAGAUCUCUGGGCCGUAACUGACGCUGAGGAGCGAAAGCGUGGGGAGCGAACAGG
rnacentral:rRNA from 1 species